ACCUAAUCUAAAAUAUCAAAUACGGAAUAAAAAUAUUAAUGUUCAACUGCAAUUAUCGCGAAAUCAUUGAGUAUUUCGAAAAUUUCACGUACCUCAGUAAUUUUUCCUCUCUUAAUUAAUAGUAAUUUUCAAUCAAUUUUGAAGUCCACGAUUUUAUCAUUACAUUUUUAUUUUUUAAUCUUAUUAAUUUUUUAAAAUUAAUAAGAAUGGCAUCUCAUCACAAAUUUAAUGUACUAAUACACAAUUCCAUUUCACUUUCGUAGAAAUUGAGGAUUAAAACUAUCACUACACAUACAGUUUCGUUAUUCAUCUAAAAAUUUACUUUAAAAUUAUUUUUAAUUUAUCAAUCGAAAAAUAAAAAAUUACAAAUAUUGGACUUUGUUCAUAUCUUAUCCAUCAGAUCUAUCAACGAUCAUCAAAACACACGAAUACAUGAACGAAUAUAUUCACUUGUAUCGAAACAAACACGGCAUAAAACGUUGUUUUUCAAACUUUUUCUUUUUUUUUUUUUCUUCUUUUUGAGGAUUAUGUGGAAGUCUGUGGUUCAACUGGUUUGGUGUAAAUGCGGCUUAACGUUGCGGCUGCGCAUAAAUCGUUGUCAUGGUUAGAGAUAUUUAAGGCGAGGUCCCUUUUGUCCCUUUCUAAUGGUUUGCUCUAUCCUUAAUGUGGUAUUUUUCAACUUGGAACUUAUUAUAACGUGAAAUCUCGUCGUUUUGUUUCUUAAAAAAAAAGGAAGAAAAAACACAGAGAUCUUGAUUACCAAAAGUGACUCCUCCUCUGCUUCACGUCUAUUUUUAUCGUUUUACGAAGUCCAGUGUGACACCUGUUUCGAAUUUUAUACACAAUUUUAUAUACAAGUUGGAAAAAUUGUAUUUUUAAAGUUAUAUAUUUUUUUUUCAUAUUGGAUAAGUUGUUUUACAUAUUCAAUUAACUGAUAAAUAAAAAAAAUAUGAAUAUACGAGAUUACACAAAGUGUUAAGAUAUUCAUAGAAUAUUUUUCUACAGAUUCAAAACAAAUGCAAAAAUAUGAGUCGAGACUUAUUUACAUUAUAUUAUUAUAUUAUUGAGUUAGCAAGUUCGAAACAAGAUGGAGAUAGAUUGUGACGGCGAUGUAACAGAGAUAGAAAAUAUUUCGCUUCGUCUCGUUUCAUUUAAUGCAAAAUUCAAUUGCUUGUUCAAUUAUUAUAUAAAAUUAACAUUCAUGUAUUCCGAUUUAGAAUGAAUAAGAGUGUAAUUUUUACAUCAAGAUUUAUUUCAAGAAAAAAAAAGAAUUAUCGCUUUACAUAACCUCAAUUUCUAUUUCAUUUCAACUCACGGAAGAAUACAUCGUUUCAAAAUUUGUCGUGGUUUAUAUAUAUAAUAAAGUAUAUGGAUAAGCAAUAAUUCCAAAGUAAGAUACAUCUUUAUCAAACGUACGUCUAUAAAUCUCGCGUGAAGGUUUCUAUAAACGUCAACGUGAGAUCUCGCCGCGUAAAAUUAAGAAGGAAGAGCGUAGGUGACAAACACGUCGAUGAUUGUGAAUAUGUACAGCCUGCUCGUUCUCAUGAUCGGCUUAGCUCUCUUAAACAUCGAUUACUCGAAAUCUCGUAGGCGUAUUCCGCUUUGGAAACGACAUAAAUCUCUUCUAACUUAACUCGUAACACCUUUUCAGAGAACCAAAGCAAGAAGAAAGUUCCUCGUUUCAGGGCCCUCGUAAAACAACAUUCACGUGAGCAAAGUAAAAUUAGAAAAUCGUGAAAGAUGAAAUCGAAAACCAGAGAAGAGAUAUAAUUUAUUAUCCUCGCUUAUUACGGUAUUGGAUGAAAUAAAAAAAGGAAAAAAGAAUAUGUCACACGAGGAAAGAACUUUUUAAUACCAGUAGUCCAUUGAUAAAGGAGAAUUGAAUUUAACUUUGGAAAUUUAAAAAAGAAAUAAAUCGUAAUUGUGAAUAAUAAAAUCGAUUAAUAAGUAUUAUUUUUCUCUACAAGUAAAAAGAUACGUCUGUAUGCAUGUUUAAUUUUUUAGAAAAAUGUUAUUAAAGAUUCGAUAUUGAAUAAAAGAUGGCCAUUCGAAAUUAAGAUGGAAAUAGCGCGAAAUAGGUGGAUUGUAAUACAUUCGAAAGUUUAUUAUUAGAAAAUGUAUUUAGAAAUGGGUGAAAUAAAUCAGUACCUAGUUGCUUACCAAUCUCGCACAAAGCAGCAUUGUGUAGAAACCUGAGUAAAGUAUAUUUACUGCUUCAAAUGAAAGUGAUGUAGUACGUCAACUAUAUAAUGGCUCUUAGUUACACGGGAACAUUCAUCUUGCUAAUAUUUAUGUUUUCGCGGAGAAACUUUAUUAAUUAGCCUAUUGUCGAGUCAAAGUGGUACAAAGACCACGUCUUUGAUACUAUAUUCAGAUUUGUUUAAUGCUUCCCGCAUAUAUCUCAAUUCCCAUAAAACACCUUAAUGAUCCGCCAUUCGAAUUUGAGUGAAAUUAAUGCCUAAAUUAAUGCCUUCCCUUUCAUAUUCUAGAUAUUUGAACGUGAGAGAUAUUCUAAUUCGUAAUAUUACGCUCUAUUUUCGAAGAAAGAAAAUCGAAGUUUAAAAUUGGGGAUAGAUUGUUGAAGAAAAUCAGUUUUGAUACGAAAGAAAUUAUUCCAAUGAACUACUCGAAUAAAUUCUAUCUAUGAAUUUAACUUAAUUCUCGUUUCAUUUCACGGACGUUGAUGCAACGGCAUCAAAAUUACGAUCGAAUAAAAUUUAAUCAAAUCAGAUUAAACGAUGUUCAGUUUCUAAUAAUAAACCCCUUAUUUCUAAUAUUUAAUAUUCUCUUCAAUCUCGUAAUAAUAUAAAAAAAUAUCUUCUUAAGAAUCAAAGUCGUCCUCCGCGAAGAAUCGACUUUAAAAAUGAAAAUUGGAGAUUAAAUCAAAUUAAAUAAAUUCCGAUCUUUCGUAAUUAAUUCGUGAAUCAUUUUCGAGCAAAAUUUCGAACACCCCCCUUUUCUUUUUUUAACAACUCUGCCUCGCUUCGUUUGGAAAAUAAUGGAACAUGGAAAACAAUUAAUUCCAGAGGAGUGUAAGCGCCGUGUUAAAAAAAAAAAAAGUGUGACGAGAACUUAAUACCUCGCGAUAACUGGAUUGUUCCCGGUUGCUGAAACUUACGUAAACAGGUGUACGGUAUACUGGGUCAGUCAAACAUCGAACUUGUGUUCGCACUUGAUUAAAUUAUGCAAAUCGAUCGGAUCGUACGUGUCCGCGGACCGGAAUGUAAAUUGCGCCUGGAAAUACUACUGUGCCCCCUAGUUUCGGUGCUGCCUUGUGAAACGGUUUCUUGUUAAUUUAUUGGCCGAUCGAUUGUCGAACGACUGUCGAGAUCGAGCGUACGUCCAUAUACGUGUCGCGGAGACAUAUUCGUUAACCAAUCGUAAAGAGUUUAUUAUUCGCUCCUUUCUUCCCAACCUCUCAAACAUUUUAAUAUGAUCGUCGGAAGUUGCGUCAUUUUUUUUUUUAAAUAACGAUUCUAUAUGUACAAUACAAUCUCGUAACGAAAAAUAUAAUCAAAUCUUCGUAUAAAAUGUGAAUUGUUUAUGAUUCAAUAUGGUAUAUUAAUUUGCGAUUAAUACAUCUCUGUCUAAUUUUCAUCGAGCAAACAGGUUUUUAAUUCGAUUUUAAUUUGAUUUUUCACUUUUCAUUUCAUAUAUAACGGAAGUUAUCGUAAGAAUUAUCAAAAAUAUAUAUAUAUAUAUGAUUCGUAAAAUUCCAGAAAGAUACGAAUCGACCAAGUUCGAUGAAAUGUACUUAUCCCGUACACACAUCACACACAUGUUCCACGCUAAAGUAUAGAUGUACUUUCAUAUAUACACCUCUUUCUUCUUCUCCUUCUUCUUUUUUUCUUUUCUUUUUUUCCCACAAAGAUCCAUCAUCCAUCAAAGAUACGUGAUUUCAACUAGGCUACCGACGAGACUUGUAACUCGACUUGAAACGACCAGGCACGAACGACGUGUCCACGGUAAAAAAAAAAGAAAGAGAAAAGAAGAGAGAAAGAAGGAAGGGGGGGAAGGUGCCUGAUCGUAGACAACGUCUUGGUUCGAAGAUCAUAUUAUUAUGUACAACGACGGGUAUCCCCCGUGGUGCGUUGGUAUGCAUGGGGAAGCCGAUUGGCCGAGAGAAAACGCGCGUACGCACGCACGUACGGCGCGCAGCUGGUUUGUACGCGAGCUUGCACCGUAGUCAGGGCAUAUUUAUGGAUUAGCAUACAAUGGUGGUGUUUAUUAGAGAUUCCUCGAAGGUUCCCACCUUCGACGCCGGCCACGAUGCUUCUUCUUCUCCUCCACGGUUCCCGGGAACCGUGACGAGAACCCCCCACUCUCCCUCCCUUCCUCCCUCGAGGCAACGAGUCGAAAAACCACGCUCGAAACCUCGUGCGCGCCCUCCUCCCACUUUACGUAACCGCGUUUCUGACCGCAACAUUGACCUUGUUCUCGCGUUACACUUUUGCGAACUGUGUCCUCUUUGACACAGUGGUGGUGGAGGGGAGACGCAAUCCGGCACCGUUGGCACCGUUUCGGAUGAUGCGUGGAUGGAAGAGCGGUGCCUCUCUUCGAAAGAUCGACGAGGAACGAAGUUGGGCCGAUCGACAUUGUUUCGAGUGGAAAAGCGAUGGGUUUCUGUGAAAUAUGCGUGAACCUUUCUUGAAAGGUUGAUGAUAUUAAAAAAAAAAUCCAUUGACGCUAUUUCUAUUGGAGGAAUGUGGAACGGAAGAAUUAUUUUCGCGAUAUUGAUUCUUGUCUUAAAAAUUUGAGACAGAAGAGUAGUGAAUUUUUGAAAAGAUAUAUUUUAGAAAGAUAGGAAAGUAAAGACAGUAAGAUAAAGAGAGAGAGAAAGAGAAACAACGACCCAUUUUGUGGGAUCGAAAAAGGUGAGAAAGAAUAAUAGUAGUAUCUUUCGAAAUAUUUUUUCCAUCCUUCUAAAAAUUUAAAAAGACAAAAAAUAACUUCCUCCUGCAUCGAGGGAAAGAGAGAAUACCAAGGAUGCGCGAACCCGUUACCCGCAACGUUGUUCUUCCUCGAACUCCACCUCUAACCAGAAACUAGCUUCCCGAGGAAGGAAGGAAAGGAGUGUGGGCAUCGUGUGAAGAUACUGAAGAGGAGGAGUCCAAAGAAAGUGGCUUCCUCGGAAGCGGGCAGCAAGAAGGAACCGUACGGUAUUCCAAGACGAGUGAUCCCUAAGAAAAGGGGAGGCAUCGGCCGUGCAGCCGUCUCGGAUGCCCGUUUUGGUCAGCGGAGCUUCAUUCGCAUGCAACUUCGUCCGCGGCUCUUACUUGGAAGUACGUGUGACCACGUCGGCAACCGGUAACCGGGCAACGGCCACCGCGGUCCCCGCUUCUUUAUUCCUUUCUUGCAAGCGUCGACAAGGUUCAUUCAAUGGUUUCGGCCUGAAUCACGCGGACCAGCGUGGAGGAUCGCGCCGGGAGAGAAAAAGACGUUUCUCGUCCUUCCGAGUCGGGGGGCAUCCCAUUUUCGAUCGUGUUAAAAAUGACUUCAUAUCGGGAGAAUGGACGGGUUAAUGGAAAUAACGUCGUUUGGACCGUUUGCAAUUUGGAUAAUGGUUCGGAUAUGGAUGGAGAUUGGGGAGGAAAAUUAUUAUUCGAGAACGAUUGGUUAAUUGGUUCGUAUAAGCUUUCCAUGGACAAGCUAAAAUACAUUGAAAUAAAUAUUGGAAGAAAUAUUUCCAAAGAUAUUAACAAUAUAAAUCUAAUAAAACGAUAAGGAAAGAUACCUGAGCAAAUUGAUAAAUCAUAAAAUUAAUAUAUUUCUCAUCGAACGGAUAAUUUAAUUUAAAUAAAAGAUUCAUUCGCAUGUCGUCGCUGUUUUCAUCGUGCGCCAUAUGCACAACGCGUGGCACAUGCGCGUCCCUAAAAAUCCGGAGGGCCGUUGAAUCGAACACACUUUCUCCUUCCUUCCGCCGCCAUUCUCACGAUUGCUAUGCGAAUCGCCUCAAUUAAAUUCGCAUCAAAAUCCAUUCCACCGGCGCUGAUUCAUUACCCGCUCACGCUUUAAUUUCACUCGGCCACGCGGUAUGCGCCACAUAAUUUACCGCCUCGGCCUUUUAACCUGGCAGCGCCUUCGAGCGCCUUCAUUUUGUCUCUAACACCGAGCAACGAGAGGCACUACGUGGGGCACCCUAACCGAUCCGGAUCCACGAUAUCCCCAAAUUACCGAGACCCGUUAUGUCAUCCCAACUUUCCCUCUGCCGUUGUUUUUCUACCCGUCCACGCCUAUUUCUCACGACAUUACAGCCACGACCUUCCUGGAGAAAAAGAAGAAGGAGGAGGAGGAGGAGAGAAAAUCAAUGUUUCUUUUAUCUUUCUUACUUUUCUGAUAAAUAGGAGAAGAUAGUGGGAUGUAAGGAAUAUAUUUCAUCGUCGAUGAAGAAAUCGAAUGAUAAUAAGAAAUAAACUUAUUAUAAUCGAGUGAGUUAGAGAUUGAUUCUUAUUAUAGAUUCUUUUUCUUUUAUUUCUUAUUUUCGCAAUUACAAGAAAUUAAUAUCGAUUUUUAUUCGAGGUAAACAUAUUCAUACAUAAUGCAUAUAUAAUUAUUCUCAUAAUUAUUUUCUUAAUACUAUAUUAAUUUUAUACGUGCAUAAUUUUAUACGUUUAAUAUAUACAUUAUAUAUCGAUAGUUUUUAUGUUUUUAAUCUACUACUAAACCUACUAAAUUUCACUGAAAUAAGAAAACUUUUAAUUUUUUUCCACUAUUUCUUUAAAGUGUUUAAGAAUUUAAUAUUUAACUUAUAUUUCGAACAAUAAUUCCUUUAUAAAAAUAAAAUUAGAAACGUAAAAAUUAUCAUCAAAGUCACAAUAACCACCACGAUAAUCCUCGUAAAAUGAUACGUUCCCAUUCUCUCCAACAACAGAAAUUCCUCUAAAUUCCAAUCCCUCCAGGAUCCAAAUCCUUCUCCUCCUCCUUAAUCGAUCCACGCAAAAUCGGCCGAUUAAUUAUUCCGCAAACAGCAGCGGUAUCGAUAAUUAGUCGCGUUAAUAACUCGGCUCGAUCACGCGUGGGCAAACACGCGGUGAAUGUCGCUGUAACGGGUGUUCUAAAUGUCAGCCACGUUCCACGACGAAAUUACGCGGCUGAGAUUUUUUUCUAACUUUCAAAACCGUUCGACGCCUGCACACGGCCGACUUUAAGGUCAUCCCAGUAAUUAUACGCCGACCACCGCGUGGCUCGUUCGAUUGGACGAUCGAACGUUUGCUCCCUGUGAAGCUUGGAAAGAGAGAAAGAGAGAGAGAGAGAGAAAGAGAGGAGGAGAGGCAGCAAAGAGAGACAGAGAAAGAGAGAGAGCGAGAAGGAUCUAAUUGUGCAACGCGAUCGAACGGCGGAUACCGUCGCUUCAACUGUCACAGUUUUACCAGCGACGAUGAAGAAUUUCGUGGCACGAUUGCGUGAUAGUGGCGGUAUAAAUCAGUGAUACAACGAACUAUCAGGGCAGCACCAGCUGUUUCGAGUGUGCCUGAAAGGGGGAGAGGAUCGACGUAUUUCGUACCGCGCGACGAGGCUUUGCGCGAAAUUGGUCGCCGAUGAAGAGGGAUUUGUUAAGUGUUGCUCUUCGAUCUAUAUGGGCUGUUUCAUAUGAAGCGUGAAUUACACGGGGAUGAACGAAUCUGUUGUGCGAAUGAGUGGAGUGGACAGUGAGUUUUCAGACGGUGAUGCUGGAGAAAAGAUAUUUGCUUUGAUUUUUUAUUUAUUUGCAUUUCAGAAAUUAAUAUUGUUUAUCGUGUAAACAAUUCGGAUUUCGAAAGUGAUAAUGUGGAUCGGACGAAUUUUUUCUUUUUACAGAAAUUUUUACGAGUUCUAUCGUUAUUUUUACAUACAUCGAUCUUGGCUUCUCAAUGAUGAAAAUUUGAUGAUUGUUUGCAAAAAGGAUCGUCGAAAGGACAUAUAUAUAUAUAAUACUGUUCCACCAUAAAUAUCAACCAUAUCCUGAAUGAAUACGUAAAAUAAUUUAUAUCGUUGAAUUAAGAUAUAAUUCACUAUAAAUAAUCAAUCAGCCAGAAGUUAUAACAUAAUAACUAUAAUUUCAUGGCAUACGUCCCCGUAAUAAUUUUUAUUAUCACCGUAUUUAAUAGGUCCCUUAUCUCGAGCAAACAACAAAGUGAAAUUUUCCCGUGUUCUUCUAUUAAGAUUUAUCUUAAUUAUUCAGCCGCGUUUGAUAAGUCCUUUCAUGUAUCCAAUCCGCUCCGCAGAUAGUUUUUGUCACACACUUUUACCCGGCUCACUCUGACAUUUCAACCUUUUCACGCACCAUUUGCUCUCUCGUUGGACAGACAAAUUGCAAUCAAACUGUUUCAAUGCAAAUUAAUCGAUUCUUCAAAUGAAACGCCAGCUCCAACCACGAUGCCUUUUGUUCCCAUCUCCUAAAAGAUUCUCUCGAUUGGAUCGCACGAGCUAAUCGAAUUGGCCACGCACGUUCGUUUAUUAAUCGCACGGAUAAUGCAAAUUACGAUUAUUACCGUGUAAAUAAUGAUAAAAUAAAUUUUAUUCCAGGUAAUAAUGUGAAACGUAUGAAAUAUGUUUGAUGACAAAUAAUGCGUAUCUAAAUGUAUGUAUAGUUAAAUGAUCAUAAUUAAAGUAAAAAUGAAAAUUAAUAAAUGUUUUAUAGUAUAAGAUUGGAUGUACGAAUUACUUACUAAUAUAAUUUAUUACUUGUAAUAUAAUUACUUGUAAUAAAAUUGUUUUUCUCCAGAAUUAAUAAAAUUUUAAAUUAUCAGUGUAAUAAUGUCAAAAUAUGGAAGGUAAAAAAUAAGUUUUGAAAUACUUUUGCCAUUUUUGUAAUAAAUUAAAUCUAUAUUUUUUUUUUUUUUGAUAAUUCUACAAUAUUUAAGAAAUAUAAAAAUAUAUGGAAUUUUAUAGAAAAUAAUAUCCUAAACGAAUAUAAUUAAAAACGUUAGAUGUUGAAGAGGUAUUCUUUUAUGAUAAAUAUGUUUUUUUCAAAUGUAAUAUACCUAACGUUUCAAGAGCAAUAUUCAAAAAAAGUUUCAUGAAGGAAUUGCGCAAUAAUAUAAUAUUCCAAAAAACGAUUAUGAUUGAGCAUAUAUUUAUAUAAUACAUAAGAAGAAGAGUUAAAAAGUUAUGAGAAAAUUAUAUAGUUUCUAUUGUAAAGAAUUUUUAAUUAAGAAAUCAUAUAAUCUAUUAUUAUCUAGAAGAAAAAUACAUGUGGAAUAGUAACAAAUAAAAAAUAUUGUUACUCGUUAUAUCUUUCUUUCUUUAUCCCAACUAAUAUCAUAAAAAUUACAAUAAACGUUCAUAUGUUCAUAUGAAACACCGUUGCAAAUUUACAAAUUUAUUUAUACAAAUUCAUAAAUUUAUAUAAAUAAAAAAAAUGUUUCCCUUUUCAACGAUAAGAUAAAUUAGGAAAGUGUGCUUAUAUAAAAAAAAAUUCGUCAUAAUACAAUUCCUCCUGUAAAACAUAUCGAGACGUCCUUAAGAUAUAUAUAAAAAUUUUUAAGAUAAUCCAUAAAAUAUCUCUGCGCCGUUUAGGCAGUUGAACAACGAUUCCUACCACAAACAAAUCCAUAACUGUCUGCUAAGAGCGCCAGCGUUAACGACACAUCUCUAUACAAAGACAGAGACAAGCACGUUCCACGCCGGCAUUCGUAACAAACUCCCGUUUCGCGGUUCCCCCGCGAAAAAUCCGCCUUUUAGUCCGCGCGGCAGCGACGAGCGUGAACGAGGCGUGCCUUAAGGCAACAGGCCAACGGGGCGAUGGAAUACAGAAGUGAAAUUAGUAUCGCUGUCGCCACAAGCGCUCUCUCGCCAGUUACGAGCCGCAAUUCUUCUUUUUUUUCUUCUUCUUCCGCCUCCCUUUCUCUCUCUCUCUCUUCCCAGCUCCUUUUCUUGCCUUUAUUUCUUUUUUAGCGAGCAACGUCGUAGCAGCCCCGGCCGCGGCGACGAUUUCCAGCGAAACCGCCCGUGGAACGAAGAGGAACGAGCGGCCGCCGUUGAAUUUAUUUGCCGGAGAAAGAAAGGGAGCUUCGAGAGCCGUACCGCGCGCUUCGUACGCAGCAUUUUAAUUACCGCGCUCCGUCCCAUUCUGUGCGCGUUUCGCCGCGGUGCGCAUGCGCUCUCGCCUCCCGAGCAACCGUAAAAAUGCGCGUGCGCGCAACCGUGCUCGUUUUCUUGCGCCUGCGCGCUCGCGCCGUGCCCGCCGUUUCCUGGAAACCGAUGCAGUCGACGACGGCGCGGGUUUAACGAGCCUCGUCGUAGAAAUCAUCGAUCCGAUUUCGAUGAAGAAUAUCGAAAUAAAUAUUGAGACUCAGUCAUUCUCUUUUUUUUUAUUUUUUCUUUUUACCGUGCAUUGAAAGUGAUUUGAUGCAAUAGAGAAUUUUAAUUCUUAAGUUAAUGGAGAACAAAGAAGGAAUUUGAUUUUGUGUUAAAACGUUGAUUUUUUUAUUUCUUCUAGGAGCGAAAAAGAAUAAUAUCGAAUAACCUCUUUUUUCAUAAUGUACGAAGAUAUAAUUACCAAAAAUCUUGGAACCUAAAACUUCACGAACCCCUUCCUCAAACCGUGACAGGUGUCAUUGAAGUGCGUCGUCGCGGAUUUCAGAAGCGCGUUUGCCGACUCGCACCGAGGAUGCGUCAAUAUUGACGCAGCUCUUGGGAAACACGUACUUCACCGAUGCCUUCUUCACUCCACGAGAAGAUGUUCGCCAUGCGGAUCCGGGGAAAGAGACGAAACGAACAGUAGCCAGAGUAGGAAUGGCAGGAUCAAGUGGCGAGCAAACAGACGAGGACAGAAGGGGGUGAUUUCUCGAGGGUGGUGUUGAGUCGGUGGCGGAGGACACGCGACGAUGCGUUCCUCGAAAGGGCAGCUUUGAGAAUACGUGAUCCCGUGAAUCGACGCAAAGCUGCUGUUACAAGCUAGCUUGGACUGAAGUCUUAAUGUAUUCGCCUACUUGAUUUCGACGAGCUUUCUCUGCCGAUAUGUAUUCCGAUUGUGCGCGAGCCGAGAAUCAUGAAUCGCCUCGCGAAACGGGAGUAAUUGUCGUCCACGCAAAUGCGUUGUAAGGUGAAUACUUGAAUCGAUCGUUGCUCGAUUAGAUGGCGUGUUUAGAGAAGAGGUUUAAUUCCCGGAUCGAUCGAUGUGAUUCCGAGGGAAUCGGAUCGAACUGUUUAAUUGUAAGGCGUUCCUCGUGUGGAAGGAGAUUCUUGAGAUUCUUUGGUUUUGGAUUUGAUAAAUAUCGCAAGUAUUAUCUUUAUUCAAGAAUUAUUACGAUUUUGCGUUUCGUGAAAUGUAUGAAUGCAUAAAAAUUCAAACGGGAUACGUGUUGUCUUUUGUUUUAGAAAAAUUGUUUUAGAAACAGUUAAAUUUUCAUAGAAUUCUUUUUUUUAGAAAAUCACUCGAUUCAAUUCAUUCAGUUCGCAUUCAACUUUCUCUUAUUUAGAAUUGCUUCGUGCAAUUUUCAUUCCGCUCGUACGUAAAUCUUUCUAAUUUUUGCCCCCUUCAACUUCUCGCCGAUAUUUCAAUAUACCAUUACCAUUCCCUUGUAAACCAUUUCCAGUUACACUUUCUUAUAUCACAAUCAUACUUGACUCUUAGUUUAUCAAGGCAAAACUAUUUUACGUUCACACCAUAUAAUACGUUGCAAUUUACGCGUGCUAAAAAAUAUUGUUAUUAUUAUUUGCAACGAUCGUUCGAGAUUAUACUUCGUUCCGCCAUACGUUGUCCGUUUGAAUUUCUCAUAUAUCACGUACUUUACAAUUUCGAGUUACGUUCAGGAUGGUAACAUCGAAAAAUCCUUGUCGUUGUAAAUCGUAUUAUUAUUUAUAUAAAACGCGGUAAACGCGAUAUACGAACACGGUUCGAAAAAUAUUACUCUAUUCUUGGGAUUAUACAAUUUUCGUCCGAGCCAAUAAUAGAAUAGGUAAAUGGUGUUGCGCAUUUAUCCGAUACUUAUCACGAGUAAUGGCUUAUCAUGCAUGGCGUAGCAGUUACCGCAGCGCCGCGUGCGGUCGAGAAGGGGAAUUGAAAUUUUCUGUUGGCAAAUAAGGGAAAGGCUCGAAAUCUUCGAACACGUGUGACUUUCUACUCCAUGAUUCAAACCCCUAUACUUUUUCCUCCAAUAUAUCGAGGAUUAUUAUUACCAAGAUUUAUUAUUCGCGUAAGUAAGAGAACAGUAGUGGAUUUUUCAUGAAAAUAUCGCGUGUAAUAUAAAAUCAAGAAAACGAAAUCUGUGCAAAUAUAUAUAUGAUGAGAUAUUACAAUUCCUUUCUUAUGGAUUCUCACGAUUCUACAAAUUUUCUAUUCGAGCAAGAAUAUAAGACGUGAUCGAUAUUUAAAGCAAAUACACGCAUUACAGUUUUUGAUAACUAUCAAAGAAAGAUCAAAGAGGAGGGCUCCUCCAAAAAUUUCCCAAAAAGUUGUCGUCUCUUUUAAUUUCGCUGAAAAAUCGAAACACGUAUAUUCCUUUCUAUUUUUCCUUUCUACGAUAGCCUCGGUCCUCCUAGGAUUAACACCCCCCUCCUUUCGAUUUUUCCAGUUCCCUUCCCGAAUCCGCGGGAAGGAGAAAAAAUUCGAAAAAAGGGGGGAGACGCGCGCGAGGGAGAGAGAGAGAAAAGAUGGAGGGAACGGGAGAUCGAGGAACACGUACAGGGAUCUACGGAGGAGAAAUUUCUCUGCGUCGUUGCCCAUUAUCGUAUCGAGUAUCGACCGCACGCCGCAAUUUCUGCCCACCGGGUCACGUCCAGCCGCGAAAUCGGUAUGCGGAAGAGAAAAUAUCGAUGUUUAUCGCGAUGCGGACGUCGGUGCCCCGGAGAACCUAAUCUCCCCCAAAGACGCUUCUAACGGUGCGCUUGCAACGCUCGACCACCGCUCCUUCCUUCCUUCCUUCCUCCGUUUUUUCGUCACCCCAUGGGACGACCGGGGAGGGGGAGACACCACGGAGAAUCUGAAUUGAAAUGACGAACGCGGUGGGGAGGGAGGGUUCUGUCCAUUUGCUUCGAAUCGAGAUCUCCCUUCAGGGGAACCGUUUACGUUGAUGGCCCGCAAAAUGGAAAAAUUGAAAUUGUGCGUUUGCUUUUCUUUUUUCUUUCUUUCAGCAGACAGAAGAUAACUCGAGUCUGCAAUAAUUUGAAAUAAAUAGUUUUUAGUUGGUGGAAUUAAUUCUUUUCUUAGAACAUUUGACUUCUUAAGAACAAAAGGAUAAUUUAUCCUAUUAUUUUAUUUGAUUUGUUAAGUUCUUUUUUAUUAUAACAUUCAUAUGUUAAGCAAAUUUCUCUUCUCCUAAUCGAUCGGUGCAAAUUACUAUCGCUAAACGUAAUUACUGCCGCUAAUAUUCCCUAGAAAAAAGGGGAAAAAGUUACAAACACUCAAGUACACCGUUCAUUGUCGAUGAUAAUCGAGCGCACAAGGCUCUUACGAGGCUCAAAAAAGGCUUGCAUGAAUUAUUAAAUACAUCUGCAAAUAACGACACGAGCUUCCCUCCUUCUUUCCAAGCCGUCCAACGUUGCAUUCCUCUACAUACGAUUCUACCAUUGGAACUUGGAGCAGGGCUGUUCCACGUUCAGGUCUCGUAGCAAGGAAUUACGUACACCAUGGAUCCCGUCCAGCCUCUAACCCGCGUAUCGCGGUUAUUCUUCCCUCGAUCCGCAUACGGGAAACGUAUACACGGCCGCAUUAAUUUUUCUUAUCUCUCGCGCCGAAGGAGGUCGAUCGGUCAAUUAAUUACACGUGAUCACUGGAUAAUUAAUACCGGCUUAUUCUCGAAACGUUCCACUCGAACGCUGGGUGGCCUGCGCCUGAGCAUUAUAAGAUUAUAUAUACGCCCGUUUCGAGCAGAAAAUCCGGGCGUGGAUCUUUUCCAUGCAAGAAAUGCAAUUAUAGCGAAUAUUAUACGAGAGUGCGAGCCUCUCUCGAAUGCAUUGCCGCCGCCAACCUUGACGAAACUUUCGAGAGCAUCGAGAAUACGCGUUUUACCUUGCGAUUCCUCGCGUGGAUUGUUGAAGAAAAGAAAAAUACUAAAGUAACGGUUUGAUCGGUGGCUAAUUAGAAGAAAUUGAUAGAAGGAUUAUGGAAAUAUUGAAUAUAAAAUUUUAUAAAUUACGCGAAGGAUAUUAAAAUUAACAGAAGAAUUUUUCAAAUUUGUAAAGUAGAUAGAAAUAUAAAUAUAUAUUUGUAUCCUAAACUAACAAGAAGUUAAUUACGAGAGAUACUUGCGUGUGGAUUGUCAACGACACGAAUUUCUCUUUUUUCUUUCUCGAAAUUCCCAGGAAAUCCUCGUCCAGCAACGUCUUCCAAUUUUUGUGGCUCGUUGCACCUCGACCAGCACCACAACGUGGCCACGAUCACGUCGUAAAACACAAUUCCUUGGACUUCUUUUCACCGUCUUGUUCGGCGGAUGCUAACCUCACGGCGACAAACGAAAAAACCGAUCGCUGGAUUUUCGAUGCAGCGCGCUGCUAAUCAUUAAUUAGCCGUUUCUUCGACCAGGGAUCGCCUCUUGCCCUUUUCGACGGUUCUUGCUCCUUGGGGACGACAAGCGGCGGUUAUACGGGGAGGAGGGGAAGGGGGGAUGGUAAGGGAGACAAGGACACGCGAGCGUGGUGAACGUCGAAGGUGGAAUGUCGAGGAGCAGCCACCCUGUAAACGUUCGAUUAAUUUUUCGUGUCGGUGACAUCGGUCGUUCGAUCGUCCCUGUUUUUCAACCCGACCCAGCCUCAAUGAAGAUCGACGAAACACGGCUCUUGCUUAUGGUGCUCGUGUAGGAACGCCAUCGUUAACUGGAGAUCGAUGGUUUCGUAGGUAACUGACUUGAGGAUCUAUUUCAUUGCUUGUUAUUUGCUUGGUGAGAAGAUCGACACCAAUUUGACGAAACUGAUGACAGAGUAUUCGUCAAGCACGAAUUCUUAUGAUUCUAAUUCGUAUUUCUUUUUUUAUUAAAUGUAUCAAUAUAUUAUUAAGUACAUAAAUUAUACUUUAAAUAGCUUUUAGUAUCAUUAUGUUUUAAAUAAAAGAAAUUGUCUUUGUCUACUUUGAAUUAAUCUAUUACUAUCUCACACUCUUUGUUAUCAGAAUUUGUUCACUUUUUUCUGAAAAAAGAAAAAAAAAUAAAAUUUGCAAUGAUGCU